UGUCUGUGAUGAUUUAAACAGAUGACGAGUCCGAUGUAAUCCAUUCUAUAAAACCAAUCGAGGCAUUUGUCUGAGAGAA
rnacentral:snoRNA from 1 species